rnacentral:rRNA from 1 species
GACGAACGCUGGCGGCGUGCUUAACACAUGCAAGUCGAACGGAAAGGCCCUGCUUUUGUGGGGUGCUCGAGUGGCGAACGGGUGAGUAACACGUGAGUAACCUGCCCUUGACUUUGGGAUAACUUCAGGAAACUGGGGCUAAUACCGGAUAGGAGCUCCUGCUGCAUGGUGGGGGUUGGAAAGUUUCGGCGGUUGGGGAUGGACUCGCGGCUUAUCAGCUUGUUGGUGGGGUAGUGGCUUACCAAGGCUUUGACGGGUAGCCGGCCUGAGAGGGUGACCGGCCACAUUGGGACUGAGUUACGGCCCAGACUCCUACGGGAGGCAGCAGUGGGGAAUAUUGCACAAUGGGCGGAAGCCUGAUGCAGCAACGCCGCGUGCGGUAUGACGGCCUUCGGGUUGUAAACCGCUUUCGCCUGUGACGAAGCGUGAGUGACGGUAAUGGGUAAAGAAGCACCGGCUAACUACGUG